GCUUAAUCUGGCAAGUACCAAGACUUGCUUGAGUUAACAAAUGUCUGGUUUGUGUUUGCAGGAUCCUGAGGGAAGUCCCCCCAGAAGGCUGUGCAGAGCAGGGAAGAGGAGGUUAGCAGUCUGCAGUAAAUGAACUGGAGGAGGCGAGGCUGUGCAGUGUCUGCUCUUUUGUUUUUAGGAAAACUGAGGCACUGCUGUUUGUGGGGCAGGUCAGAUCUUCAGCAAGUAGAUGAAAAUCUGAGCAUUCCUUUGUGCACAUGGAAAGCAAUGUAACUGAAGAGGUAAGAGAUUCUCAGCUUAAAAGUAACAGGGGCUCUCAAGACAGCAAGGACACUGAACAACUGCAGGUGGUUUGUCAGAGUAAGGGAGAAGCAGCAGACUGUGGAUAGUUGCUGUUUAUUGCAAUGUCUUUCUUAAAAUAUGUCUUACCGUUAAAAAACUUGAUGAUAUCAGUGAAGUCCAUGUUGUUAUCACGGAUAAUCUCUCGGUAAACUUCCACAAGUGCUAAGGCAAUGAAAAGGACAAAAUGUUCUGAAGAGAUGUGCUUUGCUGCCCAAAUUACUUCCCACACUGUAAAUACAUCCUCGUACAACAAUUCUGAAUGGGAAUAAACAUUACAAGAGCAUCUGAUUAUUCAAAUUGACCAUUUCUCCCCCACCCCCCACUAUGAUGUCUUUCAGUCCUGAUGUAGAAAAUAAUUGUGUGAUGACUUCUUUUCCCUCUCCCUUUCUCCUCCAGCCAACUCCUGUCAUUUAUUAGUGCAAGUAUGGC
rnacentral:lncRNA from 1 species